rnacentral:rRNA from 1 species
UGGGGAAUAUUGGACAAUGGGCGGAAGCCUGAUCCAGCAACGCCGCGUGAGGGAUGACGGCCUUCGGGUUGUAAACCUCUUUCAGCACAGACGAAGCGCAAGUGACGGUAUGUGCAGAAGAAGGACCGGCCAACUACGUGCCAGCAGCCGCGGUAAUACGUAGGGUCCGAGCGUUGUCCGGAAUUAUUGGGCGUAAAGGGCUCGUAGGCGGUUUGUCGCGUCGGGAGUGAAAACGCAGGCCUUAAUUCUGCGCUUGCUUUCGAUACGGGCAGACUAGAGGUAUGCAGGGGAGAACGGAAUUCCUGGUGUAGCGGUGAAAUGCGCAGAUAUCAGGAGGAACACCGGUGGCGAAGGCGGUUCUCUGGGCAUGUCCUGACGCUGAGGAGCGAAAGUGUGGGGAGCGAACAGG